UUUGUCAGCCAGCUCUGGGAGAUGCUGCUGGUAAAAAGAGGGGGGAAACCUUCUCUCAUUUUUUUGGCAAUAUAUGCUAUGAUAGCACAUGCCUGGCAUGUUGAGAACAAUGGCCCUUUGUUCUGCCCUAUUCUAGAACAAUAGAUCUGAAGAAAGAAAAACGUGCAGUCUAGAUCAAGAGCUUCUCAUCAGCCCUCCCUCACUCCUACCCACACUGAAAAAGAUAUAAGUAGCCAUAUUGGGGGUAAUGGAAAAGAAGAAGUGAAAGGACAAGGAAAACGCAGGGAACAGAGGUGGGCGGGGGGAUGUAAUCCAAGCUACUUUGUGCUUCAUAGAAGAUUGGGGAAAUUGUAGCGGGGAUGUGAGCAACCCUCAGAAAUAAACCACAACAAAAUAAUGUUCGUGCAUUCUUUGACAUUGAUUGUUCAUGAAGAGAAUUUCCAGCUCAACAAUCAGGACUGCUGCUUGAAAGAUUUCUUUUCCUCCCUGUCAUGCAGAUGAAUAUAUUUUCCAAGUGAAGACAUAAGCAAAAGUAGUUUCAGAAGUCUGGUGGAAUUGCGAAGGAAAUUCUACACAACAAAUGUCAAAGGAGAAGAAACAUGCUCACCAGAGUUGUUCGUUUCCACCAUAGAGGAGAUCCAGUGCAAAGUACAAAUGAAAAAGGGAUUCCCUCCAGAUGGUGGGAGAGAGAGAGAGGUGAAGAGAGAAAAGAAAUCCUGAGAAACUAUGAUACUCUUCUCUUCUUCAAGUAUAUCUUUGCUGUUAAGACAUCCCAAGAACAUUCCUCAGUCCAAGAGAAAUAGCCUUUGACAUCUAUCAGUUCAGUCAUUCUAUUCCACCCCAGUUGCAGGAAAAUGUGUUAGUAUCCUUUACCAGAUCCAGGUUUGUCCACUUAAUGAUAUUCUUGAUCACAGUCAACAGUGAGUCCAACUACCUCAGAAGGCAUUUGGAUAUAUAUGUCUGUGCAGUGGUACAGGGCAGGUUGGUGAGUGUCCUGUGCUGGGAACUUUUUCAGGACAGAACUUAGAAUCAGCAAGACCUGAAUUCAAAUGUUGCCUCAGACACCUACAAUGACAGAAGUGAUUUAAGUGACCUC
rnacentral:lncRNA from 1 species